AUGCUGCCCCUGGCCGUGGCGCGGUGCCUGGCUUCCCCCUGCUCCGGACGCGUGCUGGUGGCGCCUUGGCCUGUCUCGAGCGGCAUGUUCCAGUCCGCGUGGUGGUUGGAGGUGGAUGUGGUGAGGUGGAAGUGGGUCGGCAUGGAAGGCAGGGCGUCGGCGCCACCAGUGGUUGACCCGCUCGCGCAACUCCGAUGGGUGUUGGGUUCCAUGAUCUUGGUCAGGAGAAAUCCAUGCUUCGAAGAGGCCGACGAUAGUGACGCUCGUGGGCACCGUUCCUUCCCUGGAGGCGUUGUUUUGGCCCUGAUCUGGCUCCCUUCCUCGGGCUUAAGGGAAACCUUUGGUCCGUCCACCGGACCAGGCGGCGACGACGUCAUAGCGUCGUUUUUUUUUGAAGGCGUCGUCUUGUUGCUCGAGGAGUCUCAAUGGUGGGCUUCUAGGAUGUUUUCGUUAGAAAAAUGA
rnacentral:rRNA from 1 species